GCGUUGUGGGGCAGGGAUAUUAUCUAAUAACAUGAAGCAACUGCAUUAAAGUGAUGAGUCUGUAGGUGUGAUACAAUUGUCACUGGCCUGCUAGAGUUCCAGGGGGUUUGGAAAUAGCCCUGCUUUAACAUUAGAGUCACCUCGCAAAAAGCUUCUAAAAAUUUUUAAAAGCUGCCACUUUUUCCUACCACAGACCAGUUGAAUCAGAAUGUAUG
rnacentral:lncRNA from 1 species